rnacentral:rRNA from 1 species
UACGGAGGAUCCAAGCGUUAUCCGGAUUUAUUGGGUUUAAAGGGUGCGUAGGCGGUAGCUUAAGUCAGUGGUGAAAGUUUGCAGCUCAACUGUAAAAUUGCCAUUGAAACUGGGUUACUUGAGUACGGUAGAGGUAAGCGGAAUGCGUAGUGUAGCGGUGAAAUGCUUAGAUAUUACGCAGAACCCCAAUUGCGAAGGCAGCUUACUGGACCGGUAACUGACGCUGAGGCACGAAAGCGUGGGUAUCAAACAGG